rnacentral:rRNA from 1 species
UAGGGAAUUUUGCGCAAUGGGGGAAACCCUGACGCAGCAACGCCAUGUGUGGGAUGAAGCAUUUCGGUGUGUAAACCACUGUCAGCAGGGAAUAAAAGGUCCGUUAAGGACAUUUGAAUGUACCUGCAAAGGAAGCGCCGGCUAACUUCGUGCCAGCAGCCGCGGUAAUACGAGGGGCGCAAGUGUUGUUCGGAAUCACUGGGCGUAAAGGGAGCGUAGGCGGGCUUUUAAGUUAGGUGUUUAAUCCCGGGGCCCAACCCCGGACCGGCACCUAAAACUGGGAGUCUUGAAUAGUGGAGAGGUCAGUGGAAUUGGGGGUGUAGCGGUGGAAUGCGUAGAGAUCCCCAAGAACACCAGUUGCGAAGGCGGCUGACUGGACACAUAUUGACGCUGAGGCUCGAAAGCAUGGGGAGCAAACAG